rnacentral:rRNA from 1 species
UACAGAGGAGCCAAGCGUUGUCCGGAUUGACUGGGCGUAAAGCGCACGCAGGCGGUUGCGCGCGUGGGGUGUGAAAUCUGGCCGCUUAACGGCCAGGCGCCAUCCCAUACGGCGCGACUGGAGGGCUGCAGAGGUCGAUGGAAUUGCCGGUGUAGUGGUGAAAUGCGUAGAGAUCGGCAGGAACACCCAGGGGGGAAACCAGUCGACUGGGCAGCACCUGACGCUGAGGUGCGAGAGCGUGGGGAGCGAACCGG